rnacentral:rRNA from 1 species
CUAAUACCGGAUAAUCCUUUUCCUCUCAUGAGGAAAAGCUGAAAGUCGGUUUACGCUGACACUUACAGAUGGGCCCGCGGCGCAUUAGCUAGUUGGUGAGGUAACGGCUCACCAAGGCGACGAUGCGUAGCCGACCUGAGAGGGUGAUCGGCCACACUGGGACUGAGACACGGCCMAGACUCCUACGGGAGGCAGCAGUAGGGAAUCUUCCGCAAUGGACGAAAGUCUGACGGAGCAMCGCCGCGUGAGCGAUGAAGGCCUUCGGGUCGUAAAGCUCUGUUGUUAGGGAAGAACAAGUAUCGGAGUAACUGCCGGUACCUUGACGGUACCUAACCAGAAAGCCACGGCUAACUACGUGCCAGCAGCCGCGGUAAUACGUAGGUGGCAAGCGUUGUCCGGAAUUAUUGGGCGUAAAGCGCGCGCAGGCGGUCCUUUAAUUCUGAUGUGAAAGCCCACGGCUCAACCGUGGAGGGUCAUUGGAAACUGGGGGACUUGAGUACAGAAGAGGAAAGCGGAAUUCCACGUGUAGCGGUGAAAUGCGUAGAGAUGUGGAGGAACACCAGUGGCGAAGGCGGCUUUCUGGUCUGUAACUGACGCUGAGGCGCGAAAGCGUGGGGAGCAAACAGGAUUAGAUACCCUGGUAGUCCACGCCGUAAACGAUGAGUGCUAAGUGUUAGAGGGUUUCCGCCCUUUAGUGCUGCAGCUAACGCAUUAAGCACUCCGCCUGGGGAGUACGGCCGCA